AAUCAGGAUGUUUUUCAGAGAGAAGUGUGGAUGCUGGACAGGAAGAACCACAGAUACCAGAUACGGGUACUGUUGUAACUCUGUUCUCCAUGAAAAGACAUACUUUAUUCAGCUGGGUGCUGAAAAAGAAUCUUGGAAAUUAGGAAACUGAAUGAGGCCUCAUUUCACACUCAGAAUGUGGGUUGCAAUAGUCACUUCCUCUGCUGCUGGGAAAGAAAGAAUUAUACUACCUUUUGAAUUUUGGAUUAAGGAGAGAGGUGUUGGCUUGUCAAACUACCAUGUAUUCCUCAAGACAUAUUUUUGUGGCUUUAUAAAAUUCAAUAUAUAUGUCUAAAUUCAAAAAUAUUUUGUUGCAAUCUGGCCCUUGGACAAACUGAGGCCCUAGCAACUGAUGUUUAUGGCUUUCCGUAGAACCUUUCAGAUAAAAUUUACACAGCAUUUUACUGCAGCUAUUUCACACAAAGCAGAGGAUUUUGCCACAAAACUGAAAGAAAAAAGAAACUGCAUUCUUAAAUUUUUCAUAAAUCAAAAGGUAUAAAAAUAUCUACCUAAACGAUAAAGGAGAUGAGAAACCCCACCCAUGAUGGGAAGAAAGCCUAUUUCAGUUUUGCCUUUACUUCAAGUUCUUUUUUCCAUAUCUGGAAUGCAAUCAGAAUUUUAAUCUUGCCUUGGGUUCCUCCUGGAUUUGGGGAGAAGACAAAACCUGAAAAUCUCUAAUCUGCAUGUGUUCAGCUGCGUAUCUUCUGGAUACGGAAGGAUCACACUGCACAGAGUGCUGGACUUGCAGGAGCCCCGCUUCUCAACCUCCAUCGCUUUAUGAAUGAAUUCACCAGAAAGGAAGAAUCAACACUUUCAGAGAUGGAGCCUGUUGAGCCACAGUACCAACUAGUCAAUGCUGAAUCGACUUCUCCCUUUCUACAUUGCCUGAGAGAAGUCAUUGGGGAAUACUCUAGAGUCAAGGGAUUGGAUUGUGGAUUGCAUUGGUGGUUUUCCUCAGUUUCCUCAUCUUCUCCACAAGUUUCUACAUAUCGAAUGCAGAGCAGCCCUUCUUCAAAGGACCUCCUACGGAAGCUGCUAAGGAACUCAGUCUGUAGCUCUGCGUGGAGCCAUGUGUAAACACUGAACUGAGACCUGCCACCUCCUACUACCUAAGGGCCCAUUUUCAUCUGAUAUCAUCCCCCAGAAACAAACUCAUGAUGACUUCCAUGUUUUUUUUAGAUUAGAUACAUGGAGAAUUUUCCUUUCCCUUAGAAUUAAAAUCCUGCAUUCUAAUUUUCA
rnacentral:lncRNA from 1 species